rnacentral:rRNA from 1 species
AGCGAACGCUGGCGGCAGGCCUAACACAUGCAAGUCGAACGGAUCCUUCGGGAUUAGUGGCGGACGGGUGAGUAGCACGUGGGAACGUGCCCUUUGGUUCGGAACAACUCAGGGAAACUUGAGCUAAUACCGGAUGUGCCCUUCUGCGGAAAGAUUUAUCGCCAUUGGAGCGGCCCGCGUCUGAUUAGGUAGUUGGUUAGGUAACGGCCCACCAAGGCGACGAUCAGUAGCUGGUCUGAGAGGAUGAUCAGCCACACUGGGAGUGAGACACGGCCCAGACUCCUACGGGAGGCAGCAGUGGGGAAUCUUGCGCAAUGGGCGAAAGCCUGACGCAGCCAUGACGCGUGAAUGAUGAAGGUCUUAGGAUUGUAAAAUUCUUUCAGCGGGGAAGAUAAUGACGGUACCCGCAGAAGAAGCUCCGGCUAACUUCGUG